rnacentral:miRNA from 1 species
UUUUGAUCUUUCCUGUGCUUUAA